CCUAGGGGGUAUUGCACCUACCGAAGACUAUCAAACUCCGAAUGCCGUCAUCUUAUACUUGGGAGUCAGACUGUGGGUGAUAAGAUUCAUAGUCGAAAGGGCAACAGCCCAGAUCGUCAGCUAAGGUCCCUAAAUGUAAGUUAAGUGGUAAAGGAUGUGGGAUUGCACAGACAACCAGGAUGUUGGCUUAGAAGCAGCCACUCAUUCAAAGAGUGCGUAAUAGCUCACUGGUCGAGUGAUCCUGCGCCGAAGAUUUCCGGGGCUAAAACUUACUACCGAAGCUACGGCAUCAGUAAUGAUGGGUAGGGGAGCUUCCCAUACGGGUUGAAGCAUGACCGUAAGGACAUGUGGACAGUAUGGGAGUGAGAAUGUUGGCAUGAGUAGCGAGAUGUGGGUGAGAAUCCCACAGGCCGUAAACCCAAGGUUUCCAGGGGAAGGUUCGUCCGCCCUGGGUUAGUCGGGACCUAAGCUGAGGCCGAAAGGCGUAGGUGAUGGACAACA
rnacentral:rRNA from 1 species